AGAGAAAGUUUAUAUCAGUUUUGUGAUUUUGGUCUCCUAACUAUCCAGAGAUCUUUUAGUUUUUUAAGUCACGCUAUCAGGCACUAAUAUAAAAGGCAUGUUCUGUUUCCAAAAGAUGCAGAAAGACAUGCCACCAAACUUCUUGACACAUUUCACCAUGCUUGGAGACUAAACAUAAAACUGGGAGACAAAUAUGAAGCACAAAGCCGGUUUGUGGAGGCCAAGCAACUCUUUAAAUGCGCACUCACCAUCAUGAAAACAAUUGGUCCCAAAAGAGAAGAAGCACUGGCUCAUGGGAGACUUGGAAAUGUCUGUGCUAAACUCAGUAAAUAUCAGAAGGCUAAAGAAUAUCACGAGAAAGCACUUGCCAUCGGAAUAGAAAUUGGCGACAGAAGAGGAGAAGGAGCAAGUUACGUAAA